UCCGGUUUGUCACCGGCAGUCUCAUUAGAGUGCCCUUUCGUAGCAACUAAUGACAAGGGUUGCGCUCGUUGCGGGACUUAACCCAACAUCUCACGACACGAGCUGACGACAGCCAUGCAGCACCUGUGCGCCGGUUCUCUUGCGAGCACUCCCACAUCUCUGCAGGAUUCCGACCAUGUCAAGGGUAGGUAAGGUUUUUCGCGUUGCAUCGAAUUAAUCCACAUCAUCCACCGCUUGUGCGGGUCCCCGUCAAUUCCUUUGAGUUUUAAUCUUGCGACCGUACUCCCCAGGCGGUCGACUUCACGCGUUAGCUGCGUUACCAAGGAAAUAAAUCCCCGACAACUAGUCGACAUCGUUUAGGGCGUGGACUAC
rnacentral:misc_RNA from 1 species